GAGAAAAGCCUCUAGCUAGAAUAACGGUGCCCGUACCGCAAACCGACACAGGUAGUCAAGAUGAGAAUUCUAAGGUGAGCGAGCGAACUCUCGUUAAGGAACUCGGCAAAAUGACCCCGUAACUUCGGGAGAAGGGGUGCUCUUUGAGGUUCACGCUUCGAAGAGCCGCAGUGAAUAGGCCCAAGCGACUGUUUAUCAAAAACACAGGUCUCUGCUAAACCGUAAGGUGACGUAUAGGGGCUGACGCCUGCCCGGUGCUGGAAGGUUAAGAGGAGUGGUUAGCGCAAGCGAAGCUACGAAUCGAAGCCCCAGUAAACGGCGGCCGUAACUAUAACGGUCCUAAGGUAGCGAAAUUCCUUGUCGGGUAAGUUCCGACCCGCACGAAAGGCGUAACGAUUUGGGCACUGUCUCAACGAGAGACUCGGUGAAAUCAUAGUACCGGUGAAGAUGCCGGUUACCCGCGACAGGACGGAAAGACCCCGUGGAGCUUUACUGUAGCCUGAUAUUGAAAUUCGGUACAGUUUGUACAGGAUAGGUAGGAGCCUUAGAAGCGUGAGCGCUAGCUUACGUGGAGGCAUUGGUGGGAUACUACCCUAAUUGUAUUGGAUUUCUAACCCGCAGCACUUAUC
rnacentral:rRNA from 1 species